rnacentral:rRNA from 1 species
AUACGUAGGUGGCGAGCGUUAUCCGGAUUUACUGGGUGUAAAGGGCGCGUAGGCGGGGAAGCAAGUCAGGUGUGGAAUCUAUGGGCUUAACCCAUAAACUGCACUUGAAACUGUUUCUCUUGAGUGCUGGAGAGGUAGACGGAAUUCCUUGUGUAGCGGUGAAAUGCGUAGAUAUAAGGAAGAACACCAGUGGCGAAGGCGGUCUACUGGACAGUAACUGACGCUGAGGCGCGAAAGCGUGGGGAGCAAACAGGAUUAGAUACCCUGGUAGUCCACACUGUAAACGAUGAAUGCUAGGUGUAGGGGGUAUCGACCCCUUCUGUGCCGCAGUAAACACAAUAAGCAUUCCGCCUGGGGAGUGCGGCCGCAAGGUUGAAACUCAAAUGAAUUGGCGGGG